rnacentral:rRNA from 1 species
UACGAGGGACCUAGCGUUGUUCGGAAUUAUUGGGCGUAAAGGGCUCGUAGGCGGUUUGUUGCGUCGGAAGUGAAAUCUUACAGCUUAACUGUGAACUUGCUUUCGAUACGGACAGACUAGAGUUCGGUAGGGGAGACUGGAAUUCCUGGUGUAGCGGUGAAAUGCGCAGAUAUCAGGAGGAACACCGGUGGCGAAGGCGGGUCUCUGGGCCGAAACUGACGCUGAGGAGCGAAAGCGUGGGGAGCGAACAGG